UAUGGCCACAUCAUGCUGAACCAUUGGUUCCUGUACAAUCACUGAAAUGAAGCAAUACUGAGCCUGGUUAGUACCUAGAUGGGUGACUGCUUGGGAAUACCACAUGCAGCAAG